AUUGAACGCUGGCGGCAUGCUUUACACAUGCAAGUCGAACGGUAACAGCACUUCGGUGGCUGACGAGUGGCGAACGGGUGAGUAAUACAUCGGAACGUGCCUAGUAGUGGGGGAUAACUACUCGAAAGAGUAGCUAAUACCGCAUGAGAUCUAAGGAUGAAAGCAGGGGACCUUCGGGCCUUGCGCUACUAGAGCGGCUGAUGGCAGAUUAGGUAGUUGGUGGGAUAAAAGCUUACCAAGCCGACGAUCUGUAGCUGGUCUGAGAGGACGAGCAGCCACACUGGGACUGAGACACGGCCCAGACUCCUACGGGAGGCAGCAGUGGGGAAUUUUGGACAAUGGGCGCAAGCCUGAUCCAGCAAUGCCGCGUGCAGGAUGAAGGCCUUCGGGUUGUAAACUGCUUUUGUACGGAACGAAAAGCCCUCUUCUAAUACAGGAGGGUCAUGACGGUACCGUAAGAAUAAGCACCGGCUAACUACGUG
rnacentral:rRNA from 1 species